GACGAACGCUGGCGGCGUGCUUAACACAUGCAAGUCGAACGAUGAAAGAGGAGCUUGCUCCUCUGGAUUAGUGGCGAACGGGUGAGUAACACGUGAGCAUUCUGCCCCUGACUCCGGAAUAACUACUGGAAACUGUAGCUAAUACCGGAUAUGCGCCGAACAGGCAUCUGUAUCGGUGGGAAAGAAUUUCGGUCAGGGAUGAGCUCGCGGCCUAUCAGCUUGUUGGUGAGGUAACGGCUCACCAAGGCGACGACGGGUAGCCGGCCUGAGAGGGUGACCGGCCACAUUGGGACUGAGACACGGCCCAGACUCCUACGGGAGGCAGCAGUGGGGAAUAUUGCACAAUGGGCGCAAGCCUGAUGCAGCAACGCCGCGUGAGGGAUGACGGCCUUCGGGUUGUAAACCUCUUUUAGCAGGGAAGAAGCGAAAGUGACGGUACCUGCAGAAAAAGCGCCGGCUAACUACGUG
rnacentral:rRNA from 1 species